ACGCUUGCCAGACCUCAUAUCUUUUUACGGCAUCUUCUUGACAGGAGCACUUAGCUAAAGCAGGUACUUCGAAUAUUGAGGUAAAUAAAUCGUGGUAACCUGCUGUAUUUGACUUGAUUGGAGUUUAAGCAGUCAUCCGCAUCAUCACGCAUGAAUUGUUUAUUACAUCAACAACUCGAGCUUCUAGCCAAUGAAAAGGUUGCCUUCAAUGAGCAUCGAAAAUGAUUUCAUCCGUCGUGAGCUAUUGAUAUCUGUUGCGUGAAACCAAAUGACAUUAGUCGCUUAAACUGUAGCCAAGAAGACAUGCCGGUAUUAGCAGGGUCACCGAUAUCACCUGAGAACCAGAAUGUCAUCUCAAGAUGUUAUCCAUCAAGACGAACAAACAACGGAGAAUGAGAUACGUCCACGGCAUGCCAUCCCUCUGAAGACAGUUAAGAUGUCAGAACUUCUAGUUGUCUAACAUGAAGAAAAGGGAAAUGAGAGCUCAAUGGGUACAGAUAUUUGAACGUUGGACAACUUGAACGUUAAGAUCUGUACGAUCUGACACUUGUUUAGAGCUGACGCCUUUAAAGAAAGGAAACGGAUACCGUAUGUAUGCAGCAUAAGGUACCGCCCCAGGGCAAAAUGGGCCGCAUAGACAAUCCCAGUGUGAAGCGAACUGAAGACUGAACAACUGAAAGUGAGGAAUCUUUGUGUUCAUCUGCUUGUUGUUAAACAACGAGAAGGACUACAAUGGAUGAAAAACGCCGGCGAGAAUUCAAAAGGCCAUGACAAUUUGUUAGCAAUCAACUGGGCGUGAAGCCAACUGCAGGUGAAAUCUCAAAAGCCCCUGACCGAGGUUACGUUUAACAACACGGUUAUCAACAGUUGCAGCAGACUAGCGGCCUUAAGGCGCUAAACGUGAGUGAACAAUACUAAAAGAGUGACAGAUCCAAACCAUUUAAAGA